rnacentral:rRNA from 1 species
AUUGAACGCUGGCGGCAGGCCUAACACAUGCAAGUCGAGCGGAGAUGAGGUGCUUUCACCUUUUCUUCGCUGCGGACGGGUGAGUAAUUCUUAGGAAUCUGCCCUUUCUUUGGGGACAACAUUCCUACGGGAAUGCUAAUACCGCAUCCGUCCUACUGGAGAACCCAGUGGUUCUUUGGUCCUUGCGCUAAUUGCUGUGCCUAAGUCGGAUUACCUAGCUGGUGGGGUAAAGGCCUACCAAGGCGACGAUCUGUAGCGAGUCUGCGAGGAGGAUCCGCCACACUGGGACGGAGACACGGCCCAGACCCCUACGGGAGGCAGCAGGGGGGAAUAUUGGACAAUGGGGGGAACCCUGAUCCAGCCAAGCCGCGUGUGUGAAGAAGGCCUUAUGGUUGUAAAGCACUUUAAGCGAGGAGGAGGCUACUGAGACUAAUACUCUUGGAUAGUGGACGUUACUCGAAGAAUAAGCACCGGCUAACUCUGUG